rnacentral:rRNA from 1 species
AGUCGAGCGGAACGAUAGAUAGCUUGCUAUCAGGCGUCGAGCGGCGGACGGGUGAGUAAUACUUAGGAAUCUACCUAGUAGUGGGGGAUAGCUCGGGGAAACUCGAAUUAAUACCGCAUACGACCUACGGGAGAAAGGGGGCAACUUGUUGCUCUCGCUAUUAGAUGAGCCUAAGUCGGAUUAGCUAGAUGGUGGGGUAAAGGCCUACCAUGGCGACGAUCUGUAGCUGGUCUGAGAGGAUGAUCAGCCACACCGGGACUGAGACACGGCCCGGACUCCUACGGGAGGCAGCAGUGGGGAAUAUUGGACAAUGGGGGCAACCCUGAUCCAGCCAUGCCGCGUGUGUGAAGAAGGCCUUUUGGUUGUAAAGCACUUUAAGCAGUGAAGAAGACUCCAUGGUUAAUACCCAUGGACGAUGACAUUAGCUGCAGAAUAAGCACCGGCUAACUCUGUGCCAGCAGCCGCGGUAAUACAGAGGGUGCAAGCGUUAAUCGGAAUUACUGGGCGUAAAGCGAGCGUAGGUGGCUUGAUAAGUCAGAUGUGAAAUCCCCGGGCUUAACCUGGGAACUGCAUCUGAUACUGUUAGGCUAGAAUAGGUGAGAGGAAGGUAGAAUUCCAGGUGUAGCGGUGAAAUGCGUAGAGAUCUGGAGGAAUACCGAUGGCGAAGGCAGCCUUCUGGCAUCAUAUUGACACUGAGGUUCGAAAGCGUGGGUAGCAAACAGGAUUAGAUACCCUGGUAGUCCACGCCGUAAACGAUGUCUACUAGUCGUUGGGUCCCUUGAGGACUUAGUGACGCAGCUAACGCAAUAAGUAGACCGCCUGGGGAGUACGGCCGCAAGGUUAAAACUCAAAUGAAUUGACGGGGGCCCGCACAAGCGGUGGAGCAUGUGGUUUAAUUCGAUGCAACGCGAAGAACCUUA